rnacentral:rRNA from 1 species
UCAUGUAAUGAUUCCUACAAUGUUAAUGCACCAGAUCCCAUCAGAACUUCACAGUUAAGCGUGCUUGGACUAGAGUAGUACUGAGACGAGUGACCUUUUGGGAAGUCCUAGUGUUUUACAUGCC